rnacentral:rRNA from 1 species
UACGUAGGGGGCAAGCGUUGUCCGGAUUUAUUGGGCGUAAAGAGCGUGUAGGCGGCCUGAAAGGUCAGCUGUGAAAACUCGAGGCUCAACCUCGAGACGUCGGUUGAAACCAUCUGGCUAGAGUCCGGAAGAGGAGUGUGGAAUUCCCCGGUGUAGCGGUGAAAUGCGCAGAUAUCAGGAGGAACACCGAUGGCGAAGGCAGGUCUCUGGGCAUUAACUGACGCUGAGGAGCGAAAGCAUGGGGAGCGAACAGG